GAACAUCAAUUUGUAUCCUUGAGCAUUUGCAUUCCAAUCUUGUGCAUCAUCUUCAAAACGAUCUUUGGUAGACGUUUGACAAAUCAACCAUAUUGACUUCGAAUAAAUAUUCCGCACCUUGAAAUCAUCAUUCUUGAUAGAUAUGAACAUUUUCAAUAAUGUCGUGGAAUAACUCUUCAAUAUCUCCAUAGAUGCAUUCUCAAUGCCAUCAUGC
rnacentral:lncRNA from 1 species